AUUUAUUGUGUGAAGAAUUAUUUUAUUUAUUUCAUUCUUUUCGUCACAAAAUUUAGGGAUUUCAAGUGUAUAUAAUUUGAUCAUUGGUCAUUACAUGAAAUAAAGAAAAUCAAGGGAAAAUAUCAUCCAAAAAUAGACUUAACCCUAAAUUUCAUCGUGGUAUCCGAGCACCAUGGUUGAUGCCGUCACUGCUCCAAGUUUAUCUACACCAGGUUUUUCGAAUUCUCUCCUAAACCAAGUUUUAAAUCAUCUGACUACUGUCAAGCUUGAUAAAAACAACUACCUAUCGAGGAAAACCCUUGCUCUCCCAACCCUCAAAGGCUACAAGCUUGAGAGACAUCUCACCGGAGAAACGCCAUGCCCAUCAAAAUUGGUCUUGUCGGCGUCUAGCUCAAACACUACCAUGACUGAAGAAGGAGCAAACGCAACUGUCAAAGCUUCAAGUUCGUCCAUCCUUCAGACCAUGAAUCCUUUGUUUAAAUAGUGGGUGACUACUGAUUUUCUGCUGCUCGGAUGGCUUUACAAUUCCAUGACGCCUAAUGUAGCCAUUCAAUUGAUGGGAUUUACAAAUUCUAAGGACUUAUAGAAAGAACGCAAGACUUCUUUGGUGUUCAAUCUCGAGCUGAAGAAGAUUUCCUUCGUCAAAUUGUUUCAGAUGACAAAGAAAGGUAUUGUUGGGCGUUGAUGAAGUCUACAACCCAAUCAUUGCCGUGAUCCAAGGGAAGCCAGACAUCUCUUGGCUGGACAUGCAGUCAUAACUCCUUAUUUUGAGAAAAGAUUGGAGCAUGAAAAUACCCAGAAAAACACAUGAAGUAUUAUAUAGAGCCAUGUUGUUAAUGUGGCUCAAAGAUCUCCCUCAAAUGAUACCAAAAUUUUCAUGGUAACAAUCGACACUAUUGCAAUGGACAUCGUGAAAAUCCCAACAAUGGACGAGGAUGUGGUAAUAAACCAACAUGCCAAGUAUGUGGUAAGUAUGACCCUUCUGAUUUAGUAUGUUACAACAGAUUUAACAAGGAAUUUUCUAGUCCUCUAGCGUUCAAGAUAAAAAUAGACAGAGUUCGAAUGGGUCUGUUAAUCCAAAUCCAGCAACAUUUGUGUUGACUCAUAAUGCAACUCCGUUUUCCACUCCUCAUACAGUUAUUGAUCCCAAUUGGUACAUAGACAGUGGAGCUACUAAUCAUGUUAUUGGAUAUUGUUCAAAUUUGAUGAAUCCAACUAAAUAUUCAGGUAUUGAAAAAGU